AUUGAACGCUGGCGGCAGGCCUAACACAUGCAAGUCGAGCGGAUGAAGAGAGCUUGCUCUCUGAUUUAGCGGCGGACGGGUGAGUAAUGCCUAGGAAUCUGCCUGGUAGUGGGGGAUAACGUUCCGAAAGGAACGCUAAUACCGCAUACGUCCUACGGGAGAAAGCAGGGGACCUUCGGGCCUUGCGCUAUCAGAUGAGCCUAGGUCGGAUUAGCUAGUUGGUGAGGUAAUGGCUCACCAAGGCUACGAUCCGUAACUGGUCUGAGAGGAUGAUCAGUCACACUGGAACUGAGACACGGUCCAGACUCCUACGGGAGGCAGCAGUGGGGAAUAUUGGACAAUGGGCGAAAGCCUGAUCCAGCCAUGCCGCGUGUGUGAAGAAGGUCUUCGGAUUGUAAAGCACUUUAAGUUGGGAGGAAGGGCAGUAAGUUAAUACCUUGCUGUUUUGACGUUACCGACAGAAUAAGCACCGGCUAACUUCGUGCCAGCAGCCGCGGUAACAC
rnacentral:rRNA from 1 species